rnacentral:rRNA from 1 species
CGGGCGUCUUAACAUGCAAGUCGAACGGUAAGAGGGGAGCUUGCUCCUCUCCUAGAGUGGCGGACUGGUGAGUAACGCGUGGAUGAUCUACCUUUGAGAUGGGGAUAGCUUCUAGAAAUAGGAGAUAAUACCGAAUAACCUUAUUAUGUUAUGACGUAGUAAGAAAAUGGAGCGUCAGCUCCGCUUAAAGAUGAGUCUGCGUCCCAUUAGCUAGUUGGUAAGGUAAAGGCCUACCAAGGCGACGAUGGGUAUCCGGCCUGAGAGGGUGAACGGACACAUUGGGACUGAGAUACGGCCCAAACUCCUACGGGAGGCAGCAGCUGAGAAUCUUCCGCAAUGGACGAAAGUCUGACGGAGCGACACCGCGUGAACGAUGAAGGCCGGAAGGUUGUAAAGUUCUUUUGCAGACAAAGAAUAAGGAUAGAAGGAAAUGACUAUCUGAUGACGGUAGUUAGCGAUAGCC